rnacentral:rRNA from 1 species
AGAGUUUGAUCCUGGCUCAGGACGAACGCUGGCGGCGUGCCUAAUACAUGCAAGUAGAACGCUGAAGACUUUAGCUUGCUAGAGUUGGAAGAGUUGCGAACGGGUGAGUAACGCGUAGGUAACCUGCCUACUAGCGGGGGAUAACUAUUGGAAACGAUAGCUAAUACCGCAUAACAGUGUUUAACACAUGUUAGAUGCUUGAAAGAUGCAAUUGCAUCACUAGUAGAUGGACCUGCGUUGUAUUAGCUAGUUGGUGGGGUAACGGCCUACCAAGGCGACGAUACAUAGCCGACCUGAGAGGGUGAUCGGCCACACUGGGACUGAGACACGGCCCAGACUCCUACGGGAGGCAGCAGUAGGGAAUCUUCGGCAAUGGGGGCAACCUGACCGAGCAACGCCGCGUGAGUGAAGAAGGUUUUCGGAUCGUAAAGCUCUGUUGUAGAGAAGAACGUGUGUAGAGUGAAAGUUCACACAGUGACGGUAACUUACCAGAAAGGACGCUAACUACGUGCCAGCCGCCGCGGUAAU